CUGUCACAAAGGUUAGGAGGCAUCCACUGUGGAAGGUAAUGAGCUCCCCAUCCCAGGAGGCAUACAAGCAGCCGUCGUAAGCACUGGCUGUUAGGCUAGGCAGGGGCACUGGGCCCCUCUGGACACCCCAUCACCAGUUGCUUCCACAGAUUCCUGAGAGCUGCCGGCCCAACAUGGAAGAGGGAAUUAGCUUGUUCUCCUCACUACUCAACAACAAGCACUUCCUCAUCGUCUUUGUCCACGCGCUGGAGCAGCAGAAGGACUUUGCGGUGCGCGACAGGUGCAGCCUGGCCUCGCUGCUGACCAUCGCGCUGCACGGCAAGCUGGAGUACUACACCAGCAUCAUGAAGGAGCUGCUGGUGGACCUCAUUGACGCCUCGGCCGCCAAGAACCCCAAGCUCAUGCUGCGGCGCACAGAGUCUGUGGUGGAGAAGAUGCUCACCAACUGGAUGUCCAUCUGCAUGUACAGCUGUCUGCGGGAGACGGUGGGGGAGCCAUUCUUCCUGCUGCUGUGUGCCAUCAAGCAGCAAAUCAACAAGGGCUCCAUCGACGCCAUCACGGGCAAGGCCCGCUACACACUCAAUGAGGAGUGGCUGCUGCGGGAGAACAUCGAGGCCAAGCCCCGG
rnacentral:sRNA from 1 species